UCCUCAAUUCUCAACGUGUGUCCCUCUGGAAGGCUCCCUUCGAGUGCCACGUUUCUCAUCAUCUUCCUCUUCCUUCUGCCCAGAGAUAUCAAGCAGACUUGCCUAGAAAUUUAGCCCCAUGUUCUUCUCUGCGCAGCUCCUCUAUGGCCGGUGGCCUUCUCCUCCAACGACGUGGUCGUCACUGAGGCGCUCAGAUCUUCUCCCACACCCGCUUCCCCCGGCCACCGUAGAUCCCCUUCACGCUGGGUGGGUGCACGACCACCAACAACAACGCUAGCGGCUGCUCCAGAUCGAGGUCCCUGGUUUUUUCCAUGGCAGCCCCACCACCACCGAGUCCGGGUGCCCUCAAGCGGUGAUCUUGAGCGGCUAUUCCUCAGUGCCAUGUCAUGGGCAGUGGCGGCGAGGGACUUCAGCCGGCGGCCAAUCCAGAAGAGAGGAGGGGUCGGGAGCGUACAGAGUAGUUUUAUCCAGAUCCCCACCACUGUUUCAUCAAAGGGAAAAUAGAGGAGGCAGCGCAGCCGCCCCCCUUUAAGACUUCCCGUGGAGUUUCCUGGUCUCCGGCUGCGCGCGGUCGCUGGCCCUCUGGCAGGGGCGGCAUGUGUUAAGAGGGCGAGGUGCAGAGCCGUUUUGAUGGCGGCCCUUGACCCCGCCGGGCUGGUUCGCCAUGUGGGCGCUCGACGACUAGGACGUGCCUGCUCCGAUUUCGGGAGCGUGUCGUCGCAUCGAAGCCACUCUUCUUCCACCUGUACGACGAACAGGAAGUAUAGGACGCUACCGCCAUGGCAACAGAUGGAGCAGCGCAAGGACGGAGAUUACUACAUGCAUCUGACACUAGCUGAAAAAGCACUUCUGCCCCGUUGCUACACCAAACAGAUUCCACCCCAAGAAGCUGAUACAAGAUAAUAAUUAGGCAAGAUCGCAAAUUGGCAGAUAUUCAAUGGGUACUGGCCGGCUAACAAUAAAAGAUGUGUUUACCAGUGACAUUCAGUAAUCUACAACAGUCAGGGCGCUGCCACAAUAUUGUUUCACUAUUCAGAUGCUUUCUUGAUAGGGUUGACAUCUACUCAGGUAGUUCAUAAUGCAAGCAGCAGUAGAUAGUUCUUGAUGCAGGCAACGGUAAUGCAUGUUCACAUAUGUCCGUGCACAUGUCAACUGAAGAGAAAUUUGCAGUAUCCUUUGUCUAUUUGUAUGGGAUUUGGGAUUUCUGCAGAAAUGUUUCAGUCUUGCUAUAGUCGGGGUCUCUUGCGAGGCGAGUGAAUUUGGAUUCUUUGUCAAUUUGAGGCGCUGGUACUAGCUAAAUUCUUCGCCAUCUCUGCAUCUGCUUUUGGUUUUUGUUAGUUUCAGGUGAGGUAGUAGGAUUUAGGCAUUUUCGGAGCGUAUUUUACUAGACAAGUUUUGAUUAGCAAUGUGGUGAGGUAGUAUGAUUUAUGCAUUUUUGGAACUUAUUUUACUAUACACGUUUUGAUUAGCAAUGUAGUGUUCUGCAGUAGAUAUAUCUUCAGUUUCUGGGAUCCUAAUCAUUGCUUGGUUCUCUUUCUAAUAACUUGUGUUUUAUGCUAAAAUAUAGAAUGUUUUAUUUGAAGUAGAAUCCUAGCUUUUGUUUUGGUAAUCUGUUUUCUGUAAAUAGCUUGCAAGUGCUAUUGAUUGUCCUACAGAAAUCCUCAAGAUGCAGGGAGGUUUGAAAAUUAUGAUACUAUUUGCAAAAAAAAAGUACCAUGUGGCCGAUGCAUAUUUACUGUAUCCUCCAUGAAAAAUUAGAUACUUUGGGAGACUUAUGUAACGUAAGUCUUGAAUCCUUAUAAUGGUCAGCAUGUGCACAUUUGGUUGUUGUAUUGCAUGGUUAUAGCCUUAUAGGCGUUUGGCGAUGGUCAUGUGGUCGAUGUAAAUAUUGGUCCCUCUUUAGUCCUGGUGAUGAUUGUGUUCGGGCUUAUGAUGGUUCCUAAUACCUUCCAAUUUCUCGCAUAUGUUUUCUUCUCUACGCAGUUAUGUUCCAUUUCUGAAUUUGUUGCAGAUUCAGGGGUUUAAAUUAACACGAUAUAUGCUUGAUGGGGAUUAAGUGAUGUACCAUUGUAUGUGAGCUUUUGAAUGAUAUGCCAACCACUGUUCACAUCUUCCUUUGCUAGAAGGUUAGCUGAUUCUAACUUUUACUUCGAGCUGCUCCCGUCCUUGACCUGUGAAUUGUUAGGUUCCCAAGAAAUUGGUUCAACUAUAAUACAGUAGUCAGUGCACGAGACGGAGAUAAGGCAUCACUGCAUUAGGUAGCUGUAUUCACCGCAGGUUAAGAGUUUAUUUCUUCAGUUAUCAUUUUUUCAAUUUCCUCACAAACCUCUUUCUCCAGCUACAAUUUUUGUGUGUCAUGCACACGAAUUGAAGGGAUCAUGUAUCUAAGUAGUACUCCACAGUGUUCAACUACAGGCUGAUUUCAAAAUGUUUUCACUAACAAGGAACUUGGAACUACUUGAUCCUUUGAAUGUUUCCAUGCAGGACAAUUCUAUUACUCAUAGGGCAAAUCAUCGAUUGCGCGAACCAACUCAAGGAGACACUGUAGCUACUGUUUGGAACAUUGCAGGCCCAAGAGUUUACUCGGACGCAGCGUGGAGAAGCAAAAAAGCCCCAGGUGACGAAGCAAUAGGAGCUACUGGAAUCGGAAUCUUCAUCCAAUUUCAAAGAGAAGGCCAGAACUUCAACAUUAUGAUCCAGGCUUCGACAGAUUAUUGUUCUUCGGCUUUGCAGGCAGAGGCCAAAGCUAUGCAACUAGCAACAUCAGUCUCAGAAGCUCUGCAUCUUACUAGGCCAACCUUCCUAACGGACAACUUAAGCUUGGCAAAGGCGGUUGCAGAUCUGAAAAUUGACACCCACCACCUGCACUGGAACUGCAGGAACACGCUGGCUAUGAUUCUCAAUUCCUUUACAAAACAGCAAAGCCAGGUGUUCCAUAUAAAGAGAGACUUGAAUGGUGGUGCUCACAACUGUGCUCAUCAGGUGCUUAGGAGAUCCCUAGGUUCACCUAUCCUAGACUGCUCUUCUUCAGCUCACACCUCUCCUCACUGUCCUGCUAUCUCUUCUCUCAUUGGAAUAGAUUGGCAGGGAUUUGUAAUACAUGAUGUACAUUGUUGCUGAGUUGAGGAAUGAAAAUUUUGGCGCCUCGGGCGCCUUCUAUGUUCAAAAGAAAAA